AGUUUGAUCCUGGCUCAGCAGGUCGCCGCAACUAAUACCUUUUGUUUCAGCUCCUCGCAUGAGGAACUGUCGAGAGGUGGCUUUUGGUUACCACUUACAGAUGGACCCGCGGCGCAUUAGCUAGUUGGUGAGGUAACGGCUCACCAAGGCAACGAUGCGUAGCCAACCUGAGAGGUUGAUCGGCCACACUGGGACUGAGACACGGCCCAGACUCACUACGGAAGGCAGCAGUAGGGAAUCUCCCGCAAUAGAACGAAAGGUCUGACGGAGCACCGCCGUCGUGAGUGAAGAAGGUUUUCCGGAUCCGUAAAACUCUAUCGUUAGGGAAGAACAGGUGCCGUUCGAAUAAGUGUCUGUCUACCUUGACGGUACAUAACCAGAAAGCCACGCGUUAGCUGACCGUGCCACCAGCCCGCGAUAAUACGGUAGGUGGCCAAGCGUUGUCCCGAAAUUUAUGGGGCCGUAAACGCGCGCCGCAGGGUGGUUUCUUUAAGUUCUGAUGUGAAAGGCCCAGCGCUCAACCCGGUGGAGGGUCAUUGGAAACUUGGGGGAACUUGAGUGCAGAAAGGAGGAAAGGUGAAAUUCCCAAGUGUAGCGGUGAAAUUGCUGUAAGAAUAUUUGGAAGGAACACACCAGUGGCCGAAAGCGACUUUUCCUGGUCGUGUAAUCUGGACCACUUGAGGGCCGCGAAAGCGGUGGGGGAAGCAAACCAGGAAUUAGAUUACGCCGUGGUAGUUCCACGGCCGUAAACGAAUGAGGUGCUAAGUGUUAGUAGGAGGGUUUCCCGCCCUUUUAGGUGCUGGCAGCUAACCGCAAUAAGCACCUCCCGCCCUGGGGGAGUACGGUCCGCAAGGACUGAAACUCCAAAAGAAUUGACCGGGGGCCCGCCCACAGCGGGUGGGACCAUGUGGUUUUAAUUCCGAAGCCAACCGCGAAGAACCUUACCAGGGGCUUUGACACUCCCUCUGGACCACCCCUAGAGAUAGGGCUUUCCCCUUCCGGGCACAAGAGUGCACAGGUGAUGCAUGGUUGUCGUCAGCUCGUGUCGUGAGAAUGUUGGAUUAAGGUCCCGCAACGAGCGCAACCCUUGAUCUUAGUUGCCAGCAUUCAGUUGGGCACUCUAAGAUGACUGCCGGUGACAAACCGG
rnacentral:rRNA from 1 species